ensembl:lncRNA
CCCGGUGCGCUGAUCCGCUAGGCUACCUGGCCCGGUGCGCUGAUCCGCUAGGCUACCUGGCCCGGUGCGCUGAUCCGCUAGGCUACCUGGCCCGGCGCUCUGAACCGCUAGGCUACCUGGCCCGGUGCUCUGAUCCGCUCGGCUACCUGGCCCGGCGCGCUGAUCCGCUAGGCUACCGGGCCCGGCGUUCUGGACCGCCACGGUUCUCAACUCAGACAGCGGUGUGUACGCCUACAGUCGCUACUGCGAAAGUUAUUCCCAGGAUGGAACUGUCCACCGUUACUGUUUUCACCAUGUAAUGUUUAAACAAAAUCAUAUCCCCACAGUAGACUGGUUUACCCAUUUUACCCAGUCGGCUUGUUAUGUGAUCUAUGCCAGAUGAAUGUUACACUCCAGACUCAAAGGUACAUGUGCCCAUGAAAACAGUUUUGUCCUUUUGUUGUCCUGUUAACCCCCCCAUUUUAUGUUAAGUCAGGACCAUCGUGUGUUUAGGGAAAGAGGAUUAUUCAUUGUUUUAAUAAUAUAUUAUUUGGGAUCUGUAUUACAUGUACAAACUACAGCUCAUUUUGUAAAACGACACAGUUGACUGGAGUAGAGAAGAGAACCUGGUAGUGAUUGGAAACUGGGAUCCCCGCCCAGGUUUAUUUCACUACUACCGUCAAACUGUGUCGUUUUACAAAAUCAGCUCUAGUUUCAAACAUGGUUUAGGGACAGCUCUUUACAAGAGAGCUCUUUUUUUAUUUUACCUUUAUUUAACCAGGCAAGUCAGUUAAGAACAAAUUCUUAUUUUCAAUGACGGCCUAGGAACAGUGGGUUAACUGCCUGUUCAGGGGCAGAACGACAGAUUUGUACCUUGUCAGAUAGACCAGGUACAACAGACACAAACACCACACACACGACACACACAGAGAGACUGGGGCAUCAAACUAGCUACCAACGCUGCUAUCACCUUUGCUCCGAGUAGACCAGAUACAGACAGACACACACACACACACACAGACUGGGGCAUCAAACUAGCUACCAACGCUGCUAUCACCGUGCUUCCGAGUAGACCAGACACACACACACACAACCACACACACACAGAGAGACUGGGGCAGAACUACUACCAACGCGCUAUCCCUGCUCGAGAACCAGUACGACGACACACACAAGACUGGGCAUCAAACUAGCUACCAACGCUGCUUCACCUUGAGUCCAGUAGACCAGGUUACAGACAGACACACAAACACACACACAACUGGGGCAUCAAACUAAGCUACCAACGCUGCUAUCACCGUGCUCCGAGUAGACCAGGUACAGACACACACACACACACAGACGAGGCAUCAAACUAGCUACCAACGCUGCUAUCACCGUGCUCCGAGUAGACCGACACACCACACACACACACACACACACACACCACAUACACACAGAGAGACUGGGGCAUCAAACUAGUACCAACGCUGCUCACCUUGCUCCGAGAGACCAGGUACAGACAGACACACACACAGACUGGGGCAUCAAACUAGCUACCAACGCUGCUAUCACCGUGCUCGAGUAGUAACCAGAACACACACACACACAGACUGGGUUCAUUGAUACGUAAACCUCAAUUGUGUUGCUAUCAGAUCGGUGGGAUCAAAGUAUACUUCUGUACCAUCCAUAGUGGCUGGUCUCUGGGGCCUACUUCAUAUGCACCGAGGCCUGAGGAGGUGUGGUAACGGCCAAUAAACACGGCUAAGCGGCUGUUCUUAGGCACGACGCAACGCGGAGUGCCUGGAUACAGUCCUUCGCCGUGGUAUAUGGCUAUAUAUCACAAUCCCCAGAGGUGCCUCAUUGCUAUAUCAAACGGGUUAUCAAUGUAAUGUAGGGCCCUAAAAAAAUGUUUUUGUAUUUUACCUGAUAACCAUGCCGGUCAGCCAAUCAGCAUUGAGCUCGAACCCACC